CAACUUCAAGGACCUAAGUGGACUUUUUACCCACUUAUUAUCUUCUUUUAUGAAUGAAUAAUCAUUCAUUCGAAGGUAAUUUGCAGCUAAGGAAAGAGCAAACCCGUAACCCCUUUUCUCCCAAAUCCUCCAAACUUCAAAUCUUCAUAUCUUUUUCGUUUCUCAACGGAAUUGGACGAUUUUUGCGGCCACGGAACGAGGAAACGAUUAUCUACAGAUCUAUGACAUCAAUUUGAGGUAAUUAUGAGCUUGUUUAAAGGAUAUUGAUGGUGAAUUGGAGCAUAAACCUUCGGCCAAGAGAAAAAAUCAUCAAGAUUCGACGAGGCGACUAUCGACGGAGUUCAAAGUUCUUGAAUCGAGAUUAACGCUUUGCUUGAUUAGAGUAAAUGGAUAGCAAGUGGAAUAGUAUGAUAUGAUUUGGAGAGUCAAGCUUCCGAAGUUUUAAAUUCUCGAAAGUCAUUUGCACAAGAAGUUAAAGAAGGUUUUCAUUCUAGCGGUCCGCAGUAGUCUAGAUGUCUUUGUCUAUGUAUUUAUAUAGCGCAUUUUAACUCUGAUAUCUUUGUAAAAUGGGGUCACAUGUAUUUUGAUAUAUGAAAAUAAUUUGAUUUGCGAAAAAUUUACACAGGAUUUUAGGCUUGCUACGGGUUUCGGAGCCACCACUCCCAUUCCCUAGCGCCGGUCGCGACUCAUAAAUUUGGGUCG